CAUCGACCGCCGGACCCCGCACACGUCCCCCCACAAGGAGAAGGCGCCCCGGGGGAGCGACCCCCGGCCCGAGGCGCCGCGCCGGGCAUGGGCGUCCUGCCUGCGGCAACACCUCCGCCGCCACUACCCGCAUCCCUUCCCGCACCGCUCCCCCGCAUCGCAACGGACGAACUCCCACUGCCGGGGCACUCCUACCACAGCCAGGGGUACUACCACAGCCAGGUCGAUCUCAGGGAUGCGGCGUCUGCAAGGGGCUCACAGCAACAGCCAGCUCCGUGCUUGUCUGGAUGCUCUGGUGGUAAACCAUUGGAUAUUUCUGCCAGUGCUGUUCAAUUUGCAUCACACCUUCUCCUGCCAGACUUUCUGCAGCCUUAAAAGACCCAUUGAACUUGAGCUCAUGGCUAGCUCUUUCUGUACUUAAAGAAGAGAGAAGUGUCUGUAUUCCCACCUAAUUUGGAGUGCAAAGAGAUUAGCAAGACCUACUGGGAUAGGAGACUGGAAGUGAGAGAAGGAAUGACAAAUCAGGCGCUUUCCCUCACUGGAAUACCCGAGCCAGACGCUUCUCCACCAGCGAUAUUGUUCGGGCCGCGGCUGUUGCCUGCUCGCCUCUUCUGAAAAUAAAUAUUAGCAAAUGUGUAAGAUGCUUCUUUUCUUCAUCAUACCUCACGAGGCUGCUGUAAGUCACCACAAGCAUAGCAGGGCUCCUCCUCGCUGUCCGAAUUGUUCAUGAACGUGAUCAUCGCUGCUUUCCAAGAGAGCACGCAGGAGGACACAGCCAAGCACUACUCCAGGCUGUGGGGACAAGCAGAGCAGAGGGGAAGAAAAGAGUGAACACCACACUACAAAUAACUGAAAGUCUGAAGAGGAUUCAGCAGAUUUUAGCAGGGAGGCUCGAGCACACCAUGUAGCUCCAUCUUCUCCCAACAGCAGAUUUAUCCUGCCCUCACCCAGGCAUGACAAUCUGUUCACUUGAAGUCACUGGGACUGCUGCAGGCACAGAUAUCAACAAAAUGCAGCACUAAAGAAACUUAAUUUUUCUUUACCACAGCAUUCACUUGCUGCCUCUAUUUCCCCUCUCCCAUCAGUACACCUUACCUUCCACAAAGGAGGUUUCUCAGCGCUCAGUGUUUGUUUGCAAAGGGCCAGACACAGUUUCACCUCACAUACUGGCUGCCUGUCAGAAAGCUCAGAGAGCUCAGCUCUUACACAACACUCCCGCGAGCAUCAGCAAGGAGCAGAAGUUUCUUAGUAACCUGGAGCCUCAGCUUUACAUAAGCCACUAAUCAGGAGCUACAUGCUGUCUUAUAACUGUUUAUUAACCAGAUGAAUUUUAUUAGCAGUGCUUCUCUUUGCUGAUGAAGAGUUUUGCAUAGCAAGAGAAAGACCUGUCUCCUUAGGAGAGCCACUUGUGGGUUCUUCCUUAUGUUGUCUUGUGAUUAAAAGCAAAGUUACUUGGAUGGGAAAAUACAUGGAGAAUAAAUGUGGGGGUUAGAAAUGCUUGGCCUCUUUUCACCUACUGCUAUGCAGAAAAGCAGGCAAAGCAGUAACAGAGUACAGAAAGGAAAGGAACAGCUCUUCUUUCUGGACACCAGAGGGAGAAGGUGCACUGCCCUGACUACUGCAGAACAGCUUUAAAAUCAGUAUUUCAGGAAGUUAUAAAUGCAACUAAUAGGAAAAUUCUUUCUAGCAUUAUUAAGUCAGCUUAACAAGGCAAGUAAAUAACCACUUUCUGAUACUCACCCACUUGUCCACAAGCAAAAGAAUACCUCUAAUGCAUUGUAAGCAGUUAUAUCUACCUGAACAACUCUCCUCUACAACCUUACCCAAGCUCCUAUGUCUCAGGAAAUAGAAGAGGAAGCUGAAGAAGCCACGUGAUUUGGACACAGUCACUUAAAUCUGAAUCAUACAUUCACAGCCCAACCAGCACACCCUGACGUCAGAGUGGAUACUUUGAAGAUCUGUGAGAUAUUCUUGCUUCUCACUAAAGCAACUGAAAUUCACUUUGAAGGAAGGAAAAAAGGAGGAGUAGGAGACCCCCUCCUUUCUUUCACAGCCUCCUCAACACAUCUGCACCUUCAAGAAAUUUUAGAACAUCAACUCAAUCCACCCAAGUGAAACACUUUUCAGACAUUUGCUCCUCCCCUGGCUUCUCUUGCUUUUUCAUAUAAUUUUGUUCCUCCUUUGGUGAUAAAAGUGGUACAGUUACAGGAAACAGAAGCAGGGCUAACCCUCACUUCAGGCCUGUCAGCUUCAUAGUAAUCCCGUGUUCUUACUGGGUGAGCUGCUUAACAGUUGUGUGCUUAUUUCUUACAGAGACCAAGGUCUCCUCUCUGGAUGCUUAACACACUCUUUUGAUUGAGCACAUGAGGGCUCCCAAUUUACAGCUGGGACACUAGACUCUGCUCCAGUUAUAGGAUUUAGGUCUUUAAGGAAGUCAGAUACAUAAAGUCAUUCUAUCAUGACAUACUUCUGGAUAAGGAACAGGGUAAGUUAUGCAUUCCACAGGAUCUGUGACUAAAUAACUCUCAAAAACUUCUGCUCAUGUGAGAGACCAGGGAGGAAAUAAAUAAAGCUUUACUCACUGAUAAUUUGGGAUCAAUAUUUAGAUUUCAACAACCCAGUGAAAAUACUGAAGAACUUUUUCUCACAUGAUUCAAGAAAUCAUUUUUGCUACAUAAAGAGAGCAAUUCUACAGAGGACUUUGAAGGGACAGCCAGUUAGCCUAGUUUCAAUACCCUAGUUAUGCCCACGGGAGGAGUUAAACCAAUAGCAAAACCACUGUGCCAAUUACUAACCUUCACAGUUACAUGGGAAGAAAUAGACUCGUGUUGAAACACAGCCAAUUUUAAGGACAUUUUCUCCUAUGCUCCCCCAACAAGUAUAUGGACAUGUAAAGGUGCCAUGAUACUUCUGGCCAGUAAGCAGAUUCAGACCUGAACACAGCUUCACUGUCCCUUGUUUACACAGCCGUGGUUCAGUGAGGGCUGACACAAACAUGUCCCAAUGAAUCCAAGACUUUACAGAAGCUCCUAUGGCAGACACCGAAGUCACAGCUGACUUAGAUUCAUCUAAACUGUCCUGCCCAAGGGGUUGUCUCAACACCCUCCAACUCUCUGGUGCCAACACCAGGUACUCAUCAGCUGUGUCCUGCUUUUGACAAGACAAUGAGGCACCAGUUUCCCUUUGCUGUCACAGAGCCAUGUCCAAGCAGGGCUGGCCCAGAGAGUGGGUAUGGGAGCAGCCCCAGUGGCAGUGCCCACACCAGGAAUACAGAGCACUGUGUACCCCCUUCCAGUAGGAUUGAGCCCUAAGGUGACAAGCCCUCUGCUUGCUGCCAGACAAGCAGCCCACCCCCACCUCAGGUCUGCAAAACCCUUGGCUGUGUGGCUUUAUGGCUCUUACCUAAGCAGGAGCCUUGAACAUACGGUUUACAGGGGCAGGAACACUGUCUCUCUCCCUCUGCCCCACCACCUCUACUCCCAUCCAGCAGGGAUUUUGUCUAAUGCCCCUAUUUAUUCAUCAGAGGUGCACUUUGAACUGGCACCAAGGCUCUGCUGGCUGCCAGAGAGAGCUGUGGUUUGAGCAAUCUGUCCUCCAGGGGAGGAAGGACCAGCCUGGUCACUCUCACACACGUGCCCACAUGACAGCUCUGCUCAGCACCCUUUGGGCUGAGCAGAGGGAAAGAACAGAAAGCCAGGGACUUGCUUGACAAACACAAAGGGAGCCACAGAGCACCAGGCACCUACGACAGGGGUGUUACAAAGCCACUCUGUUUUCUGGUCUCAUUUCACUACUUGAACUAAGGAGAAGGGCCUGCCAAAAGGAUGCUGCAUACACCAUAAUGGAAAGCAAGGGAGCUUUCUUUCCUACUUAUGCUCAUGACAGUAAAUACAUCUAUGCAUAUUGACUAGGCUAAGCUGAAAAAGGGGGAAGGACAGCUCAGGAAUGGGAAACAUGGAGCACUGAGAUAAAUGUAAGCUGUAUCCAUAUUCACAGAAAGCUUUAGAGUGUGAUCAAGUACAUUAAACAACAUGCUAGUCCAUUAUCAAACUGAAGCACUAAGUUACUUCAGACAAGGUUCUCCUCUCUACCUCUCAAACCAUCAGAUCCCAUUCAAAAAAAAUCAUACAAUGCUUAACAGCAAAAUGACCCCACUCUCAAAACUGUACGGCAAAAAUGAACGGGGACAAAAAACAGGCCAGUAGCAAGUGCUUCUUAGAGGAGCUGAGGUGGGAAUACAAUUACCCUGCUUUACAGCAGUCUUGUGAAUGCUGAAGGGAAGCAGGGGUCACCAAUUCUCUUUCCAGAUGUCCUUCAUGCAAGAGACCUCUUUCCUCAAAUGUGAAAAACCAGCUUUAUGGAUUUUGAUUAAACUGGGCCAGUUCACUAACA